rnacentral:rRNA from 1 species
AUUGAACGCUGGCGGCAGGCCUAACACAUGCAAGUCGAGCGGUAGCACAGAGAGCUUGCUCUCGGGUGACGAGCGGCGGACGGGUGAGUAAUGUCUGGGAAACUGCCUGAUGGAGGGGGAUAACUACUGGAAACGGUAGCUAAUACCGCAUAACGUCGCAAGACCAAAGAGGGGGACCUUCGGGCCUCUUGCCAUCAGAUGUGCCCAGAUGGGAUUAGCUAGUAGGUGGGGUAACGGCUCACCUAGGCGACGAUCCCUAGCUGGUCUGAGAGGAUGAACAGCCACAGUGGAACUGAGACACGGUCCAGACUCCUACGGGAGGCAGCAGUGGGGAAUAUUGCACAAUGGGCGCAAGCCUGAUGCAGCCAUGCCGCGUGUAUGAAGAAGGCCUUCGGGUUGUAAAGUACUUUCAGCGAGGAGGAAGGCAUUGUGGUUAAUAACCACAGUGAUUGACGUUACUCGCAGAAGAAGCACCGGCUAGCUCCGUGCCAGCCGCCGCGGUAACAC